UGCUGAGAUUACAGAAAUGAGCCACCACACCUGGCCUGAUCUGCUGUUUAGCAGAAAAUUGCUAAAAGGUUUAUGAUAAUCUUACCUCAUGGUCAAACUGAUAAAGGUUGAAUACUUUGUCUAUAAGAUUUUAUUAAGAAUUGGAUUUGACAUUCAUAGUACUCUAAUGCAAAGGUGAAAUUUGGCUUUCUCUCAAACAAAAUUUUCGUGUAAUAUUAAAAGAUAAUGAAAGAUUUCUGUUUGCCUUUUGAAUAAAUUACAAUAAAAAGAGGGGAGAAAAGAGAUGGUUUGGAAAAUGAAGUCUUCCUUCUAUCAAUGAAUACAGGUUUUUGCCUUUAAAAAAAUUUUUAGUCAUCAUUUUGGCUAAAUAAAUGACUAAUGGUGACAUGGAAUUUUAUUUUACAAGCAUUUUAAACCUUUGAUACUUGACAAACUUUCCAGAAUCAAAUUGUAAGUGAUGUCUUUUUCUUACCUAACUAAUCUUUUAGAUAUUAAGUCCCCUAAAGUCCAAAAAUGACAUAUUUGGAUUAUUCUGGUAUAUUAAAAUCAUACAGGUAGCAUUGUCAAAUAUGAAAUGGUGUUUGGUUUUCUUUAGGUUGUAUUUGUAUAAGUAUGUUAUUAGUAUGUGUUCCAAAAUUAUGGGAAAAUCCUGUAAUUCUGAUAUGACUUGGUAUAUGUUUUGAGUAAUAAAUAUAAUUACUAUGUUAAAUUGUUGUGUACCAAAGUAGUAACCAAAUUUUCUUAUCAAUUUUGUCUUUGAUUGUGACUGCUCUAAGACUUUUUGUCAUCCACAGACAAUUGUUGCCUUAUUUUGAUCAUCCUUCAAAGACAGUUUAUAAUUAGCUAUACCACUGUCAUGAGUACUCUUAAAUGUAGUCUCUGAUAAUUUUGGGAAGUGUGCUGUCAAAAUAAAGAGGAAAGAACUUCCAAGAUUCUCUUGGAAAACCAAUGUGUUCAUAAAUGUUGAGCAAAACAGGAGUUAACUGUGAAGGCUAAACUAAUAAAAGGUCAAAGUAAUCUUUUUAUGACUUUUUGCUUAAAAUGUAGCAGUUAAGUAAAGGAUAGUCCCAUAAAUAAAAUUUGGAGCAUAUCUCGCUGCACCUGAUUUUACCAGAAUUUGGAAACUAUUUGUGAGUAUUUGCAUGGCGAUACAGUUAUUUGCAUAAGUGCAAUAAGAAUCUGUUUUCUUUUGUAAUAGGACACAAUUGGAGAAAUUUAUUUAUUUAUGUAUUUAUUUUUACCAAGACUUUGACUGGAAUGGCAUGCUUUCAAAUAGAAACAGCCUGCUCUAAGGAAUCAAAGUUGACUCAUAGAGCCAAUAAAAGCCCCUUGGAAAAACUAGCUUCAUACCUUGUCUAUGCAUUCCCUGUACAGGAUUCUUGACCUGUGAUGCUAAGUUUGCUAUAAUUUGUUACGCAGCAGUAGCUGACUGAUACAGGAACCGAAGAGAGGCCAUGCUUUCCAGCUUCAGGACAGAGUGUGUGCUACCUGGGUGGGUGGUCUGGUCUGAUUAUCAGGUGACAACCGACGAGUCCACCUGUUGGGAAUCCCAGGUCUAGUCCAAGCCCCUUGUUUAGCUUUUCCCUCACAGCAGGCAGCAGAGCGUUGAAGCACGUGGCCAGAAACACCCCUCCUCCAAAGGUGUUGCAGAGAGACAGGAUCUUUGUGGAGCGAUGGGCCUUCUCAAAAUCUGUCUCGAUGAUCUUCACGGGGAGCAGGGAGCCAAGCAGCAUGAAGAAGAACACGCCCACCAUGCAAAGGAUUUUGGCCACUAGCAAUUUCACCAUGGUGGCGGCUUGGGUUGCUCUGGUCACCGCAGGGCCAAACCCCACGAUGUGCUACCGAGCCCAACCACGCAGUUGGAGGCUCAUGUCUUAGUCCAGCAACUCCCGGGGAACCCUUGUCCCCCUACAGGCGCCGCUCCCCGCCCAACCGCCGCGCAGUCUCGACCCCACAGACGCGGCCUGGAGAGCGAGUAGCCAUUCUUUUGUUUCUGUACUUUGUUAAUAAACUUGCUUUCACUUUACUAUA